rnacentral:rRNA from 1 species
AAUAGAUCCCCGGUAGUCCACGCCGUAAACGAUGAAUACUAGGUGUAGGAGGUAUCGACCCCUUCUGUGCCGCAGUUAACACAAUAAGUAUUCCGCCUGGGGAGUACGAUCGCAAGAUUAAAACUCAAAGGAAUUGACGGGGGCCCGCACAAGCAGCGGAGCAUGUGGUUUAAUUCGAAGCAACGCGAAGAACCUUACCUAGACUUGACAUCUCCUGAAUUACCCUUAACCGGGGAAGCCCUUCGGGGCAGGAAGACAGGUGGUGCAUGGUUGUCGUCAGCUCGUGUCGUGAGAUGUUGGGUUAAGUCCCGCAACGAGCGCAACCCUUAUCAUUAGUUGCUACCAUUAAGUUGAGCACUCUAGUGAGACUGCCACGGUUAACGUGGAGGAAGGUGGGGAUGACGUCAAAUCAUCAUGCCCCUUAUGUCUAGGGCUACACACGUGCUACAAUGGUGAGUACAAAGAGAUGCAAUACCGUGAGGUGGAGCCAAACUCAAAAACUCAUCCCAGUUCGGAUUGUAGGCUGAAACUCGCCUACAU